rnacentral:misc_RNA from 1 species
GCUAAUUUUAGCAUUUUGUAAAUCCUAAACCUACUGCAACAAGCGAAAUAGGUAGAGGAAAUUUCAUAACAAAUUGAAGUGACUAAUAUGAAAAAGCCCUUAUGUGCAAGUUUUCCUUAAGUUCUCAUACCCUCCAACAUCAGUGGCUAAUGAAUAUUAAUUUUUAUCAUGCCAGCUUUUUGAUCAUUUACUUAAAGUCUCCUGUUAUAUAUUCAUCUAUCUUCUUAUAUCGCAUCUAAAAAAUCUAUAUUUUUGUGAACGAAGCUUUUGAUUUUAGUCUGGACAAACACUUCAAAUAUAACAACAUUUAUCUUAACCUUCUAAUCAUUUUUAAUUAACGCCAUUGAAUUAAAAGAAUUCUUUGCAUUAUAUAUUCUUUUUCCAACUCAACACAGACAAGUGAAUAAUAUUUAUUUUAAUUUCUUAUCGUCAUUAUUUUUGUUUUUUUUAUUAAUGAUGAGCAUAUUUUAUGUCUAAAUCAUCUACUUCUUCCUUUGAGCUAAACACCAUCCCCACCAUUGCGUCACAAUUUUUCACUUGAUAUAUUAUUU